AGCGAACGCUGGCGGCAGGCCUAACACAUGCAAGUCGAACGAACUCUUCGGAGUUAGUGGCGGACGGGUGAGUAACACGUGGGAACGUGCCUUUAGGUUCGGAAUAACUCAGGGAAACUUGUGCUAAUACCGAAUGUGCCCUUCGGGGGAAAGAUUUAUCGCCUUUAGAGCGGCCCGCGUCUGAUUAGCUAGUUGGUGAGGUAAAGGCUCACCAAGGCUACGAUCAGUAGCUGGUCUGAGAGGAUGACCAGCCACAUUGGGACUGAGACACGGCCCAAACUCCUACGGGAGGCAGCAGUGGGGAAUCUUGCGCAAUGGGCGAAAGCCUGACGCAGCCAUGCCGCGUGGAUGAUGAAGGUCUUAGGAUUGUAAAAUCCUUUCACCGGUGAAGAUAAUGACUGUAGCCGGAGAAGAAGCCCCGGCUAACUUCGUGCCAGCCGCCGCCGUAAUAC
rnacentral:rRNA from 1 species